rnacentral:rRNA from 1 species
AGCGAACGCUGGCGGCAGGCCUAACACAUGCAAGUCGAACGAACCUUUCGGGGUUAGUGGCGGACGGGUGAGUAACACGUGGGAACGUGCCUUUAAGUUCGGAAUAACUCAGGGAAACUUGUGCUAAUACCGAAUGUGCCCUUCUGGGGAAAGAUUUAUCGCCUUUAGAGCGGCCCGCGUCUGAUUAGCUAGUUGGUUGAGGUAAUGGCUCACCAAGGCGACGAUCAGUAGCUGGUCUGAGAGGAUGAUCAGCCACAUUGGGACUGAGACACGGCCCAAACUCCUACGGGAGGCAGCAGUGGGGAAUCUUGCGCAAUGGGCGAAAGCCUGACGCAGCCAUGCCGCGUGAAUGAUGAAGGUCUUAGGAUUGUAAAAUUCUUUCACCGGGGACGAUAAUGACGGUACCCGGAGAAGAAGCCCCGGCUAACUUCGUG